UACGUAGGGUGCAAGCGUUAAUCGGAAUUACUGGGCGUAAAGCGUGCGCAGGCGGUUGUGCAAGACAGGGGUGAAAUCCCCGGGCUUAACCUGGGAACUGCACUUGUGACUGCACAGCUGGAGUACGGCAGAGGGGGAUGGAAUUCCGCGUGUAGCAGUGAAAUGCGUAGAUAUGCGGAGGAACACCAAUGGCGAAGGCAGUCCCCUGGGCCUGUACUGACGCUCAUGCACGAAAGCGUGGGGAGCAGACAGG
rnacentral:rRNA from 1 species